GGUUAUGAUGAGUAAAAUAAAACACUUACAGCUAGAUAGUAUCUGAAAGAAUUCUUCAUGAUUGUGGUGUUAUAGAUGGGAAUCUCUCUGAAC
rnacentral:snoRNA from 1 species